UACGUAUGGGGCAAGCGUUAUCCGGAUUUACUGGGUGUAAAGGGAGCGCAGGCGGCCUGCCAAGUCUGGUGUGAAAACCCGGGGCUCAACUCCGGUUCGGCAUUGGAUACUAUCUAGCUAGAAUGUGGUAGAGGUAAAGGGAAUUCCUGGUGUAGCGGUGAAAUGCGUAGAUAUCAGGAGGAACAUCGGUGGCGAAAGCGCUUUACUGGACCAUUAUUGACGCUGAGGAACGAAAGCCAGGGGAGCAAAUGGG
rnacentral:rRNA from 1 species